GUCAUUAAACCUUUGGCACAAGCAGUACAAAGGACGCUGAGUUCAUGUUUAUACUAACUUAUCUGGAUAAAGGGAAAGCUGUUCCUUUAAAUUAUGUUUGCUGUGACUCUGGAAAGUGAGCAAACUAAGUCUGAGGGAAAGCUUCCCUUUCGAUCAGAACUGAUAGAAAGUACAAGGAUUGAAGGACACAGAUUUCCAGUAGGACGUACCUGCCUCAGCAGCCAGCACUCAACUGCAAGUUCCUUAUAACUUGGGGGAGUUUAGUCCAGAUUUGUUGGACAUACCUCAUCCAGACGGCAAAUGAGAGACUGGUUCAGACCCAGACUGCCAGACAAAGCUGAUGGAGUUAUGGAGGUUACCUGUCUUCUGCUGCUCCGCUGCUGAUGGAUCGUCUCAGUUGCCAUAGAGACAAGCUCUGGAAGCCAUGGACGGGCACAGCGCAGGAGCUGCCGGUGGGCUCUCUGCCGGUGGGCUCUGGCAAGGCGUUCCUCAGCAGGCAUUAGCAGAGGCAGGGUCAGUCUCUGAAGGUGAGGAAGAGUCACACACACGUUACAUUGCCAUCCAAAGAAAUUCCACGUACUAUCGGUCCAUGCGGCUGCGGAGCAGAGGGAAAAGAAAGGCUACGAGAGAGACAGUGAAUGUGGGGCGUGCUACAGGUUCACUCAGAAAUGAGGAGCCUGCCAAAGAGCCUCUGACUAUGGAGGUUUUAUCUCAGAAGGGAUCGGCACCUCUGGCAAAUGUUGAUAUGAAAGCUUUAGAAGAACUAUGGAUCCAAAGUCCCAGGGUGCUGGAAGCGCUGUCACCUCACUUGGGAGAAAAAGUAUUUCUCAGGCACUUGUUCUGCUUACAGAAGUUCUUCUCCAUAUAUCAACAUGAAGUAUGAGAACAUGGUAUGAGCCUAGAGAGAAAGAAAGAGCAAUAUUUUAGAAAGACUAAAUCACAAUUAAAAAAAUAAAAAGUUCUAAAGGAAGAAAAAGUAGCGUAUU
rnacentral:lncRNA from 1 species